rnacentral:lncRNA from 1 species
AGACAUGGCACAAACACAUGAGUCAUGGAAAAAAUUCUUUGUGUGGGAAGCAGGAAAAACAAAUGGGGCCCAACUUCCAGUUGUUCAAAUGCUCAAAAGUAUUGGACAAACAGACGUGACCUCUGCAACGGAAUGUGACUACCUUCUAGUCUUCUGUCCUGUUGUUUCACGAGUUGGAACGGACAUCGGCGAGGCCCUGCACAACAUAACUCCUGGCAAACCAGUAAUACUGGUAGUGAUGCAUCACACCUUCAAUCCUCACCAUGUUGUAGCUGAAAGCCGGAGGCAGGUGGACAACCCAAAUGUCCACCUAACUGUGGACUGUCUGUUUCAUGAAGGCCGUCUCCUCAAUUGCAACCUCAAUGAUACCAUGUCGAGUGACAUCAAAAGAUUUUUUGGUUCUGAAUCCCCAGCUCCAGCCUUAAUUCACAACUUGAUGUCUUUGUGGCAACGCAUCCCAAGUUUCUUUUUAGGUUUCUUCAUCUGGAAAAUAUUUGGACUUUGUUGCUCCAGUAUUUGGAAUUUAUUCGUGUGUUUAGGUAGCCCCAUCUGGAAAAAAAUCAGACCUUGCUUGAAUCCUCUGGUACAUAUGGCUGGAUUGAUUGUUUCUUUGCUGAUGGCAGUUGUGACAUCAUUCAGCUCCAAAAUAUGGAAGAGAAAUAAAAGCGGGAAAUGAGGACUGCAAAACAAAAUCCAAAUGCAAUAAUUUAACAAUAUCACAGUAUGUUUUCUUGAUACUGUAUCUAAAACAAAAUAUAAGUAAUAUAUCCUGCCUUUGUAAUCAUUAAAGAUGUGUUAGUUAUGUGUUAUUGUUAUGAAAGCUGGUAUAGAUGUUUUAGGGAUGAAUCUUUUGAUCAUUGGUACUGUAGCAUGUUAAAGAUGAAAUGUUGCUUUACUCACAUGUCCAAGGCAAGACUGAAAAGUGAGCUUUAAGAAAACAGAACCAUUUCUUUCCCAGUUAUUGCAGACAUGCUUAUAUAUUUUAAAAUAAUGAAUUUAUUGAGAGGAUAUCUUGGUGUCAUUUGUUGCUUUUGUUCAUUCUGAAUUCAAAGACAUUCUUUAUUAAGUGACAUUAAAAACUGUUUCUGAUUUAGGGUUAGACGUUUGUUAUGAUUUAAUGUUGUCAGUGUUUUGUUUUAUGUCAUGUUUAAGGAUUUGUUCUUGGUUGUAUCGCACGUUUAGUUCAGGUUCCAUGUAUCAUUCUGUCUCUCAGUGUCAGGUCUGCGUUUUGGUGUAGUGUUUUCGUUUCCUGUUUUAUUGUGAAGGUCUGCGUCUCAUGUGAGUGUGUUCAGUUUUACCUCUGUCUCGUCUUGUUGAUUAUUCCCAGCUGUGUUCCCCACCUGUGUGUAAUCUCCCUGUGUUUCCCUGUGUGCAUUUAAGUCGCGUCCUCUGUCUUUGUAGUUUGGCUGGUCCGUCUGUGUAUCCACCAUGUCUCAUCCGUAUGUUUCCCUGCUGCCCAACCGUCAUCUGUUUUCUGCUGGCUGUUAUUCGUGUUCAGGUUUGUGUUUCUGUUCAGGGUCAGUAGUUUAGUUUUCCCAGUAUAGUUUAGUUCUCCGUUUACCAUUUUGUCCAUCUCUUUUGUUGUGCUUGCCUUAGCGGCACCAGCCAUUUUUAGCCAACCUGAUUGUCCAUUUUAAUAUAAAACCUCUUCUCACCCACAAUCUGGUAUUCAUCUUCUUUUAUGUUGCGGCUAUGAGCCGGGUCGUAACACGUUACAGCUGUAACAAAUUGCGAAAUUGCAUUUUCGCUUAAAAUCUUGAAUUAAAAUGUACACACAAUGAGAAUGUUAAGCGUGGAACACAAUAAAACCAGAGACUGCCCCGCCCCUGACCCCCUUUUUUUUUUUUAAUAAAUAUUGAGAAAUGAACUUAAAAGAGCAUAUUAGUGUGUGGUUCAACUUUAUGCAAUUUAACUUUCUGAAAAGAAAGAAAACAAGAGCCAUAUUGAGAAAUCUCUGCUGAUAAUGAUCCACACCCUUUUUCACACCUUGGCUCAUGUGAUGAGGCACAUGGUCAACAGUGGGUCAACGUCCCUCUUAAGAGACAACUCCAACUAGGGCUUAAUACCUGGGACUCUCCAGCAUUUGGUCUUAGAACUGAAGAAGCUUCUCAGAUGAGAGUUGAAGCAUCUUCAAGAAACUUGAAGUCCAGCAUGAAACACAUGCAGACAGACGCACACAUCGCAUACAAAAUUGUAACUCUCACCCUGUGUCCCUGAUGUGCAAUUGCACCAAGUGCAAUUUUCCCUAUGUAACAAAGUAUUUUAUUCUAUUUGUAUUGUAUAUAGUAUUAUUUCUAUUUUGUAUAGUAUGUUAUUCUGUUUAUCUUAUUCUAUUCUAUAGUUUUUUCUCUUUUUCUCUUAUUUUUGUUACUGCUCUUGUACUUCCUGCCGUGACCAAAAAUGUCCCACGUGUGGGACUAAUAAAGAUUUAUCUUAUCUUAAAGUCCAGGUGCUUUCCUUUUAAGCUCCUUAGAUUAAUUUUGAUGCUAUGCGUUGACAUGUGUCAGCUUGAAGUAGAUAGGAAAGGUAAUAGAUAAUUCAUUAAUAGACAAAGAACAUAAUAACUGCCGACCGUACCUGCUAUAUUCAUUUCAGUCUGUUGAAUGUUCAACAAAAGCCUCAUAGUCAUUCAUAGUUGCCUUAUAUAAAAAUGGUUUAUAUAGUUGUUUCAC